UGUCAAGGAGGUGAAUGGUUCCAUUACUCUUGUGUUGGGCUCACACCAGAGACAAGAUUCCAAGGGAAAUGGUCUAUGUUGCUGUACUUGGUAUUCUUCCCUACGGGAACAGAAGCAGCCAAGAGUUCUGGGUUCUGUAAAGUAGUUAAUUGUAUAAUUGCCUUGAAUUUGCUUCAAGCAGUGUCGUUGGGAAGGGAGUUCUUACUUGAAAGGUUAUAAAAAAUGUUUGAUGCUCGAAAGGACUCUGCUCUGAAUUCUUAAAAAUGAGUGCCCCCCCCAGACAAACCUAAACAACCCUCUCCCUCUCAGUUCUCUUAUUUGUAAUUUAACUUGAAAGUGAACUAGUGAGUAUUUCAAAAUGCAGGGGAGAUUCUUUA